ensembl:lncRNA
CCCCGCCCCGGCUCGGCUGCCACGCGGAGGGCAGGUGGCGCGGCCCAGGCGCGCGGUCAGCGUCCAGCGUCCGCCGCUCCCUCGCCCGCCCAGUCAGCCCCCAGCUGCCUUCCCUCAGGCCCCCACUCACUCACUCAUCCAUUUAUUCUCUCACCUUCUGGUCCGCUCGCCCGCCCACUUCCUCGGUCGUCCGCCCGCUGGUCCAUCCGCUCGUUCGUUCAGCGACUCGCCCACCCGCUCCCUUAGCCACCUGGUCAUUCAGUCGUUCCCUCGCUCACUCAAGUCCCCGGACUGCCCCCUGGAGGCCAGGCGGGCCUGUGCAUUUGCUACCCUCCCCUAUCUGGAGGACGCAGUGGAGCGGGUGCCCCGACUUCCAGAACAAGACUGUGGGAGCGCCGCGCAAGAGCGCUCCCCCGGCCCUGGCCGGGUUAAGGGAUCCCGGGAUGCGGAGAGCCUCAGCUGGGGCUGGAGGAAUGAGGAAUUCGGCGGGAGGAAGGAGCGGGUGCCCACGGGCCCCGAGGCAUCGCACAGCUGCGAACGCUGUGGUCUUCCUGGAGCUAAAAGCGGAGGCCGAAGAGGAAGCUGGAGCGACUGGUGGGGCUCCGUUAGGGAGGGCCUUGUUCCCAAGGAAAACGAGAACAGUAUAAGUGAACUGACAGAACUCGGGACGCAGGACACUGAAGCCGGGACCCAGUGUGCAGGUGGAAAGGGGCCGAAGGGCUCUCACCGGUCGCCCUGCAGAGAUGCAAGCAUCUCCAGGUCCUACUAAAGGCCUUUUCAGAGAGUCACUAGAAUGCCUAUUAAUAACCGUACAUGUGUUUGUCAGCGCAGGCUCGAUCACGCUGCAGUAACAAUCCCCAGUCUCAGGCCAGAAACGACAGAGGAGCCGUAUUCAGCAGCAGCCCUCGGAAACCCAGGAUGAGCGGGCAGCCACCACUCUGGAUUCCUGUCCUCCUGACAAAGAGAAAGUGCUCGGAGCGUCUAACUGCUCUGGCUCAGAAGCACCACAAGGCUUCUACUCACGACUCAUUGGCCACAACUAGUCAUGGGUAUACCCAACCACAACUGGAACAUUUUACUAUGCCCCUGGAAGACAGCCAGCCAGAAACGCCUGAUACACAGCACUAGAUGCUAACCACACUAACCAAGCUAACAUUUGCUGAACAUGCCUAUUAUGUGCUGAGCACCCUUACAUAUGCCUUUUCCUUAGAAACUCAUCGACUCCUCACAGUAAAUCUAGAAGAUAGUAGUAUGAUUAUCUCCAUUUUGGCCAGGAAAGACCCCACAGCUAGUCAAUAAAAGAUCUGGGGUUCAAAUCCACACCGUCUGGUGCCAGAGACCAUCCUCAGGGCCCCUGCAGCACUUCCCCUGUGCGAUAAAGCUGGCAGUUUAUCUUCAAAUGUCCUAACCCGCAAAUUCUGCUCCACUCAUAAACACUCCCCUUGUUUUGGGAGGCUGGUAGGGAAGCUGCCUGUGGCUCUGAACCAUAACACAGGGAAGAGGAAGAACUCUAAAGGUACAGAAAAUUAUAGUUUCAUUAAUAAUAUCAAUCAUCCCAAAUUUCUUUUAAAAUACUAGGUUUCAAACACCACGCUAAUUGACGAACCAGUAUCAUCUCAUUUAAUACUUCGACAAUCAUGAAAUCAAAUCGUCCUCUGACACUCUGGGUUACCUGCUCACGCAGCGCCUCUCCAGUCUCCGUUCUACAGUUCCUGGGGCAGUCCAGCAGCUAACACUCUGCAUCCAUUGCGGGGGUGCAGGUUUAAUCCCUGGUCAGGGAACUCAAGUUUCCAUCCUUGAUGACGGAACUAAGGUUGUCAGAGAACUGAGAUCCCACAUGUUUCACAGCACAGCC